GGAUACGUUAACGAAUGGAGCGUUAAUGAUCGUGUUUCUAAAUUGUAUCAAUGACGAGAGUCACGAUUGCGUUGCGUUCUACGGUCUC